GAUGCGGCUACAUGUGCCCCCCCACCUCCAACACCCGUGCCCUCAUUGUGCUCACCCACCCACCCUCCUGCGGCUCCAUGCACCACCUGCCCUAACGCCCGCGCCACCCCUCCCUCCCGCCAUUGGCGAAUAUAAGUAAGAAAAUAUAGAAUCAAUGACGAAUACAAAUAGGAAAAUAUGAGAUCAAUUGACCCAAAAAAAAUUCAUAUACACAAAAUUUGCACACGCACGCACAUACACAUAAAAUUGACCCGCACACAAAAAAGUUUGACCCCACACUCAAAAACAAUUGAUCUUACAAAAAAAAAUUGCCCACCCGCCCACGUGCAAACGUGCGCACACACAUAUAUGCAAUAGUA
rnacentral:lncRNA from 1 species